UAAGCGUAGCGAUACGUUGAGCUAACCAAUACUAAUGAACCGUGAGGCUUAACCUGACAACACCGAAGGUGUUUUAG
rnacentral:rRNA from 2 species